rnacentral:rRNA from 1 species
UACGUAGGGCGCAAGCGUUGUCCGGAAUUAUUGGGCGUAAAGAGCUCGUAGGCGGUUUGUCGCGUCUGUCGUGAAAGCCCACGGCUUAACCGUGGGUCUGCGGUGGAUACGGGCAGACUAGAGGCAGGUAGGGGAGAAUGGAAUUCCCGGUGUAGCGGUGAAAUGCGCAGAUAUCGGGAGGAACACCGGUGGCGAAGGCGGCAUCCUGGACCGGCAUUGACGCUGAGGCGCGAAAGCUAGGGGAGCAAACGGG